CGAAGCACAAACCAAAGGCAGGGGAAUACUGUGGACUUAAACCAGAAAUCCUAAUAGGGUGUAGGGUGUGGAGCUAUGCUGUGUGAGGCCUACUCUGACCACUGGGGCGGUCACCACACAGGGUUUCACUGUCCCCGCCUCUCUGACCCCCCUGACCUGUCCUUCUGUUGCUGGCAAGGAGAGGGUCUGGGGCUCAAACAGUGCUGCCCACGUUCCCAGUACCACAAUAGCACGAACAGCAGUCAGACAGGGACCAGAGUGAACUCCAAAGAACCUGUUUACAGCUACAGGUCCCUGUUCCAGACUGUGGUUCUGCUCUAUGGGUCCUUGGUACUGGUCCUGAUGCUUGUGGACUUCCUAUGGUUCUGUCGUGCGCGGGGUCUUUCAGUAACGGCAGCUCUUACGAGGCAUGUCACGU